rnacentral:rRNA from 1 species
GAUGAACGCUGGCGGCGUGCCUAAUACAUGCAAGUCGAACGAACAGAUAAUGAGCUUUCGCCCCUGACGGUAGCGGCUGACGGGCGAGUAACGCGUGGAUAACCUACCUAUUAUACGUGGAUAACUACGGAAAGCCGCAUCUGAUACCGCCUAAUAUAUUCUACCGCAGAGUUCAGUGGUGAAACGCGGCUUUGGUGUCACUUUUAGCUGAAUCCACGCCGCAUUAGCUAGUUGGUAAGGUAACGGCCUACCAAGGCAACGAAGCGUAGCCGACCUGAGAGGGUGAUCGGCCACACUGGAACUGAGACACGGUCCAGACUCCUACGGGAGGCAGCAGUAGGGAAUAUUGCGCAAUGGGCGAAAGCCUGACCCAGCAACGCCGCGUGAGUGAUGAAGGUCUUCGGAUUGUAAAGCCCUGUUGUUAGGAAAGAAAAGCUGCGUGAGUAAACAUCGAUGUUUUGACGGUACCUAAUGAAAAAGCACCGGCUAACUUCGUG